UCUUCAGCGAGGCGGCCGAGCUGCAGAUGCAAACAUGCAGAUCUUUGUAAAGACCCACACGGGCAAAACCAUCACCCUUGAGGUCGAGCCCAGUGACACCAUUGAGAACGUCAAAGCCAAAAUUCAAGACAAGGAGGGUAUCCCACCUGACCAGCAGCGUCUGAUAUUUGCCGGCAAACAGCUGGAAGAUGGCCGCACUCUCUCAGACUACAACAUCCACAAAGAGUCCACCCUGCACCUGGUGUUGCGCCUGCGAGGUGGCAUUAUUGAGCCUUCCCUCCGCCAGCUUGCCCAGAAAUACAACUGCGACAAGAUGAUCUGCCGCAAGUGCUACGCUCGCCUUCACCGUCGUGCUGUCAACUGCCACAAGAAGAAGUGUGGCCACACCAACAACCUGCGCCCCAAGAAGAAGGUCAAAUAAGGCUCUUCUUUCCUUGAAGGGCAGCCUCCUGCCUAGGCCCCGUGGCCCUGGAGCCUCAAUAAAGUGUCCCUUUCAUUGACAGGAGCAGCA